rnacentral:rRNA from 1 species
GCAGGCAGUGGGGAAUAUUUUGGACAAUUGGGCGAAAAGCCUGAUUCCAGCCAUGCCGCGUGUGUGAAGAAAGGUUCUUCGGAUUUGUAAAGCAACUUUAAAGUUGGGAGGAAAGGGCAGUUACCUAAUACGUGAUUGUUCUUGACGUUACCGACAAGAAAUAAGCACCGGCUAACUCUGUGCCAGCAGCCGCGGUAAUACAGAGGGUGCAAGCGUUAAUCGGAAUUACUGGGCGUAAAGCGCGCGUAGGUUGGUUUGUUAAGUUGAAAUGUGAAAUCCCCGGGCUCAACCUGGGAACUGC